rnacentral:rRNA from 1 species
GAGGAAUAUUGGUCAAUGGACGAGAGUCUGAACCAGCCAAGUAGCGUGAAGGAUGACUGCCCUAUGGGUUGUAAACUUCUUUUAUACGGGAAUAAAGUGAGGUACGUGUGCCUUUUUGUAUGUACCGUAUGAAUAAGGAUCGGCUAACUCCGUGCCAGCAGCCGCGGUAAUACGGAGGAUCCGAGCGUUAUCCGGAUUUAUUGGGUUUAAAGGGAGCGUAGGCGGACGCUUAAGUCAGUUGUGAAAGUUUGCGGCUCAACCGUAAAAUUGCAGUUGAUACUGGGUGUCUUGAGUACAGUAGAGGCAGGCGGAAUUCGUGGUGUAGCGGUGAAAUGCUUAGAUAUCACGAAGAACUCCGAUUGCGAAGGCAGCCUGCUGGACUGUAACUGACGCUGAUGCUCGAAAGUGUGGGUAUCAAACAGGAUUAGAUACCCUGGUAGUCCACACAGUAAACGAUGAAUACUCGCUGUUUGCGAUAUACAGUAAGCGGCCAAGCGAAAGCGUUAAGUAUUCCACCUGGGGAGUACGCUGGCAACGGUGAAACUCAAAGGAAUUGACGGGGGCCCGCACAAGCGGAGGAACAUGUGGUUUAAUUCGAUGAUACGCGAGGAACCUUACCCGGGCUUGAAUUGCAACUGAAUGAUGUGGAGACAUGUCAGCCGCAAGGCAGUUGUGAAGGUGCUGCAUGGUUGUCGUCAGCUCGUGCCGUGAGGUGUCGGCUUAAGUGCCAUAACGAGCGCAACCCUUAUCGAUAGUUACCAUCAGGUUAUGCUGGGGACUCUGUCGAGACUGCCGUCGUAAGAUGUGAGGAAGGUGGGGAUGACGUCAAAUCAGCACGGCCCUUACGUCCGGGGCUACACACGUGUUACAAUGGGGGGUACAGAAGGCAGCUACACGGCGACGUGAUGCUAAUCCCGAAAGCCUCUCUCAGUUCGGAUUGGAGUCUGCAACCCGACUCCAUGAAGCUGGAUUCGCUAGUAAUCGCGCAUCAGCCACGGCGCGGUGAAUACGUUCCCG